UAACUAGCAGAAAAGAACGUAACACAGAUGAUUUACCAUAGGUAUUCUAAAUUCUAUGUCUAGAGAGGUCCGAAUUCAAAAACCUGUCUGGCAUUUCAUUUGGUUACUGCUAAGUUCCUGUUAGGUGAAGGAACCAAAAGUUUCUUACUACAGAUUGUUAGUGGGGGGAAAUAAUGAAAACAACUACUAAGAGGUGUUGUUGGUUUUGAUUAGGAGAUUACAAGUAUCUUUGCAUUUUUAGCACUCAUCUAUUUUCAGACCAAAGAAACCCCUGGAAACUGCUUCAUUUUGUACAAUUCAGCAGCUCCUCAGAUACCUUUGCAGCUCCCAAGAUGUGAAUCCCAAUCAUUCAUAGAUUCAUAAAUGGCUAUUUUGCCUCUGGCAAGCAACUGUUCCAGUGGUCAGAUUUAGUUGAUGAUAAAUGAUUUCCUACUAAUAUCCUCAUGUUGGAAUGUGUUACAUUGUUUCUUAAAAUGUAUUAUACUCCUUAAUAUCUUUAAUCACCACAAUUUCUAAUCGUGUUUGUUUACUUGUUUCUCUUCUAUGUUGUAAGCCCCAUAUUGUCAGGAAUCAUGGCUGUUAUGUAUAACUGUCUGGAUUCAUUGCCUGACACAUUUUGGGUGAUUGCUUACAAUGUAAUUCUGAUGCUAACUACCCAGAGUUAUCACAGACUUCAUAGGUUAAGAGCAUGGUUCCUCACAAGAUUGCCCUCACUUCAGACACUAACCACAAGCCUCAGGAUCCACAAGCCACCUGCACUUCUAAUCAACUGGCUACAAAUUAAGAGAGCAAAAAUUCUGGAAUAUCGGAAGUGCCUGAAGAGAUGGAUCAUCCUGCAUCCAAUGUAAUUAAUUGAUGGAAAGAUUAGGACCCUCUCUGAGAGGUAAUGAGAUGGAACAAGUUGAGAUUGCCUCUACAUUGAUGAUUGAGGAAUAGUUAGAAGGGCAGUUAUAAAAAGGGAAAAGGGGGCCCAGGUGUAGUGGCUUAUACUUGUAAUUCCAGCACUUUGGGAGGCUGAGGCAGGCAGAUUACUUGAGGCCAGGAGUUCGAGACUAGCCUAGCCAACAUGGAGAAACCCUGUCUCUACUAAAAAUACAAAAAUUAGCUGGCCAUGGUGGCACAUGCCUGUAACCUCAGCUACUCAGGAGGCUGAGACACAAGAAUUGUUUGAACCUGGGAGGCAGAGGCUGCAGUGAGCUGAGAUCACACCACUGCACCCCAGCCUGGGCAACAGAGCAAGACUCCAUUUCAAAAAAACAAAAAAAAGGGGGAAAGGGGAAAAUAUUUGUGAAGAACACAACAGUGAGACUCUGUCUCAAAAAAAAAAAAAACAAUCUCCGAAUGCUGGAGUCAGGACAGGUAGGACCAUAACUGGCAGGAUGAGAUUAUCUUCUUCUCUGGCCUUUGAAUGCCCUUCCUCCCACUGUGGGAAAGUAUGUUUGUAGUCCCCAGUUGUCUUCCUUUUCUGGUAAAUUCCUCUUCUGAAGUGAUUGCUUUCUGGGAUAUGUUCCUUUUCUUCACCUUUUGCUCUCUGAAAUUCAGGGCAGGAUUUGUAGGACUCCCACUGGCACUUGUGAGAGGUUCUAGGAGUAUAGCUACACAUAUUUAGGACAUGGGGUGAAGUGCAUGUCUUCAUAAACCCCAGAAGUUGGCCAAUUACUAAUCAAGGGAAAGAUUAGGGAAAAAACUAGAGAAUAUUCAGUCAUCCCUUAAUGUCCUCAGGGGAUUGGUUCUAAGACCCCCUGCAGAUACCAAAAUCCACAGGUGCUCAAGUACUUUACAUAAAAUGGCAUAGUGUUUGCAUAUAACAUAUAUAACCAUAUGGCCUCUGUGUACUUAAAUUGUUUCUAGAUUACUUAUAAUACCUAAUAUAAAUGCUAUGUAAAGUUGUUAUACCAUAUUUUUUUAACUUCUUUUUUUUGUUGUUGUUGUUUCAUUUUGUUUUUUAGGGAUGGGGUCUUGCUCUGUUGCCCAGGCUGGAGUGCAGUGGUGUGAUCAUAACUCAAUAUAACCCCAAACUCCUGGGUUCAAGGGAUCCUCCCACCUCAGUGCCCUGCCCCUUCCCCCCGCCAACGAGUAUAUGGGCACAUGCCUAGGACUAUAGGCAUGUGCCACCCACUCGGCUCAUUUUUAAAUUUUUUUGUAGAGACCAGGUCUUGCUAUGUUGCACAGACUGGUCUCAAACUCCUAGCUUCAAACGAUCAUCCUACCUCAGCCUCCCAAAGCACUGGAAUUACAGGCAUGAGUCACUGUGCCUGUCCUUUACUUGUAUUUUUAUUGUGCUGUUGUUGUUGCUGUUUCUGAAUAUUUUCAAUCUACAGUCAGUUGAAUCUGAGCAUGUGGAACCUGCAGACACCCAGGGCUGACUAACUUAAUUCUUGGUCAGGUGUUUCAGUAAGGGAGUGAAUCUUUCAGAAAUGGGAUCCAAAGGGGUUUAUCCAUAACUGUCUUGUCUGUCUAGAACUCUUAAGGCUACUAAAAUCCUUAAACUAUCAAAAUCCAAAGUGUAGUAAUUUGACCCAAGAGCUCUUUCUCCAUCAUCACCAAUUCCCAAUCUGAGCUGCCCGAAUGAAACGGCAGAAAUGUCUGCAGGUGGUUAUAACUUCUAGCACUAUGCACAAUAGCUCUUUAGAUUUCACCAAAGAUUGUCACCUUUAUUCAACAGCAGUAAGUCACUGGAGGCUGGAUUUUGAAUGCCAUUUUAGUAAGUAAUAUUUUGAGUUCUUUUUGUACAAUUUCCUUAUCCUAUACAAUGAAAGCUAUAGGUUUGCUUUUGUUUACUUGUUUUUGCUGCCAGUGUUCCGCUAAACAGAGGUAAUACAAACACCAAAAAAACAGAGUAUAAUCUCAUCUCUUUCACAGUUCUGUAAUAAAAUCACUAGGACCUGUGUCUUUACAGUAGAUCCCUGCAGUUGGUAUGUGCAGAAUCCCAGGCAUUGCUCUCAGUGAAGGUAAAGGAGAGCUGGGUAUUUGCUGUAUUCAAGAGAUGGGAGUGAUUAAAUGCACAGCUCCCCAAGUCAGACAUUCUAAACAGGGAAAGAAGCAGGAGGAAUUGAGAGAGGCAAGCAUUUGUUCCCCAGGAAUGAUGGAGUUAUAGUUAAUUAACUGUAGGACCUUCAUUGUAACCCCAUUGAAUAGCACACAAUUGAGAGGAAGGCUUUCAGCUUUCACCAGCCAGGGUGCCCUAGAUCGCUGGGGCAAGAUAGUCUCAUUCAUAGCUUGUACAUGUCAGUUCAUAUAACUGUAUGUUGGCAUAUUUAUUUUAGGCAUGCUUUGAUUACCGAAGAAAAACUAAAGCUUUAAGUCUAUAGCAGUGCCUUGCCCUUAUUGUUUACUUUUUGCUUAUACCAAUUAAUGAGAACUUAAAUAGAUAGGCCCUUCCUCUUAAUUGAAAAAGGACUCAGCCCUUGGCCCUCCUCUCUUCCUGGGGGAUUUCAUCAAGUCCCAUGAUGUCUCUAGCCUCAGUUCAUCUCUAUACUUAAUCCAACUUUUUAUGUCCAACUGUCUGCUUGACGACUCCAUUUGGAUAUCUGAUAAAUAUCUCAAAUGUAACAUUUUCAAAAUAGAAUGCUUGUUUCACCCUACACAUCCUGUUUUUGUAAAUUAUCCCCCUGUUCACCCAGCCAUUCAGACUAAAAGCUUAGAACCUGAACCUUUUAGGUUAAUUCUUAAUUCUUUUUCCUUUGUCUACACCUAGUCCAUCAGCUGUUUCUAUGUGUUCUACCUUCAGAAUAUAUCCAAUACCGGCUGGGCACAAUAGCUCAUGCCUGUAAUCUCAGCACUUUGGGAGGCUGAGGUGGGUGGAUCACCUGAUAUCUGGAGUUCAAGACCAGGCUGGCCAACCUGGUGAAACCCUGUCUCUACCAAAAAUACAAAAGUUAGCUGGGGUGGUGGCGUGCAACUGAAAUCCCAGCUACUCAGGAGGCUGAGGCACGAGAAUCGCUAGAACCCAGGAGGCAGAGAUUGCAGUGAGCCAAGACUGCACCACAGCCUGGGUGACAGAGUGAGACCCUGUCUCAAAAAAAAAAGAAAAAAAAAAUCCAAUACCAACCACUUUUUACUUUUUCCAUUAACUCAUUAUAGCCCAUGCCAUCAUCAUUUCGCAAAUGGAUCAAUACAGUGACCUCCUAAUUUCCUUUCUCUGCUUCUGUUUUUCUCCCUUCAUGUUACAUUAUCACAUAGUGGCCUGAGUGGUCUUAAGUGUUAAUCAAAUCAUAUUACUUCCCCGUUUUAAAUCCUUUAAUUGCAUCUAUUCCACUCAAAAUCCUAUUUUCUUUCCCUAGUCUUGUGAAGCUCAUACUUACCUUGGACCUUUGGAUGUGCUUUCUCCUUCACCUAAUGCAGGUCUUUGUUCAACAUAAUCUCUUUAGAGAUGUCUUCCUGACUACUUUAUUUGAAAUAACCCCCACUUUAUCACUUUUCUUUGUCACAUAGAACUUGUCACUCCCUGAGAUACAUGGGGUUUUUUUUGUUGUUGUUUGCUUUCUAUAUGAGGCAGAGAAAUUGUCUAUGAUUCUUAAAUAGGAAAGGGAUAUGUGCAGUAGACAUAUGCAUUUUGGAAAAGUUCUUCGGCAAUUCUUACGUACAUCUUUGAUAUAGAACCAUUUAUUUGCUUUGAUUAAUAUAAUUUACAGCUGUGUUAAGACUGGAAAAACUCUACUUUUAAAGCUGGAAGUGAGUGGUAGAAUGUAUUUAGUAACAACAAAAAAGCUAAUAACUGAACUCUGGAGUUUCCCAACCUUCCUUUUUGAUCUGUGGCUAUUGUAACCCUCUUUUGGCCUUUCUGGUGCUGAAACAUUGCUUCCUUGCUGUUAAGACAUCUUUCGUUUGCUUCAUUCCCCUGCUGUUGGUUGUUUGCAGAGCACUAAACACCAGGACUGGUUACUUAAUUAUGUUACUUCUCCAUAUCUAAGACGAGCAGUAAGUAGACUUCUAAACAAAAUUUGAACAAAACUUGGCAUAUCUGGUUUGAAAUGAGUUUCAAAGCCACCUUCAACUUAGUAUCUUCAUGAUUUGAGCAAUUAAAUAUGAUUAGUAACAGAAAUGAGGUACGAAUGUACUCGUCAGAUGUUUCUAGAAACAUCGUUAUAGUUAAAACUAAAUUUCCUUUUUCCCUUUUUUUUCUUUUUUAACUCUUUAAUCAUCUCCCGAUUAUCUUCACCCCCCAGUCUCUGUAACCACCAUUCUGCUCUCUGCUUCUAUGAGUUAAAUUGUUUUAGAUUUCACAUAUAAGUGAGAGUGUUGCAGUAUUUGUCUUUCUGUCCCUGGCUUAUUUCACUUCAUAUUGUUUUCCAGUUCCAUCCAUGUCACUGCAAAUGACUGAAUUUCCAUCUUGUUUUUAAGGCUGAAUAGUAUUCCAUUCCAUUGUGUAUACAAGUUGAAUAUCCCUAAUCUGAAACACUUGGUACCAGUUUCAGUUUGGGGAAUUUUUUAGAUUUUGCAAUAUUUGCAGAAUACAUACUGGCUGAACAUUUCAAAUCCAAAAAUCUAAACUUUGAAAUGCUCCAAAUGAGCAUUUCCUUUGCGUGUCAUGUCAGUUUUGGAUUUUGGAGCAACCUGUAUAUACCACAUUUUAUUGUCUGUUUAUCUGAUCUGUAUAGACUCAACUUAGAUUGAUUUUAAAAUCAACUUAGGUUGAUUCCAUAACUUGGCUAUUGUGAAUAGUGCUGCAGUGAACAUGGGAAUGCAGACAUCACUUAGACAAACUGAUUUUAAAUCUUUGAGGUAAAUAUCCAGAAGUGGGAUUGCUGGAUCAUAUGGUAACUCUAUUUUUAGAUUUUUAAAGAACCUCCAUAUAGUUUUACAUGAGGGUUGUACUAAUUUACAUUCCCACCAACAGCAUUCAAGACUUCCCUUUGCUCCACAUCCUCACCAACACUAAAUAUUUCGUCUUUGUGAUAACAGCCAUUCUGACAGAUAUGAAAUGAUAUCUCAUUUUGGUUUUAAUUUGCAUUUCCCUAAUGAUUAGUGAUGUUGAGCUUUUUUUUUAAUAGAUCUGUUGGCCAUUUGUGUGUCUUCUUUUCAGAAAUGUUUAUUUAGGUCCUUUGCCUGUUUUUUAAUUGGGUUUGUUUGUUUGUUUUCUUGCUAUUGAGUUGAGUUCCAUAUUAUUUUGGAUAUUAACCCCUAUCAAAUGUAUAGCAUGCAAAUAUUUUUUCCCAACCCAUAGGUUAUCUCUUCACACUAUUGUUUCCUUUGCUGUACAGAAGUUUUUUAGUUUGAUGUUAUCCCAUUUGUCUGUAUUCACUUUUGCUCCCUGGGCUUUUGGGGUCAAAUCCAAAAAAAUCAUUGCUCAGACCAAUGUCAUGUGGGUUUCCCCCUGUUUCUUCUGGUAGUUUUUCAGUUUCAGGUCUUAUUAAGUCUUUCAUCCAUUUCGAUUUUUGUAUUCGGAGUGAGAUGAGGGUGGUCCAGUUUCAUUCUUUUUAUAUCCAGUUUUUCCAACACCAUUUAUUGAAGAGACUAUCCUUUUCCCAUUCUGUAUUCUUGGCAAUUUUGUCAAAGAUCACUUGACCAUACAUGCGUGGGUUCAUUUCUGGGCUCUCUAUAUUGUUCCUUUGGUCUAUGCGUCUGCUUUUUUUGCCAGGACCAUGCUGUUUUAAUUACUGUAGCUUUGUAGUAUAGUUUGAAAUCAGGUGGUUUGAUGCCUCCAGCUUUGUUCUUGUUUUGAGACAGAGUCUCAUACUGUCACUCAGGCUGGAGUGCAGUGGCGCAAUCACAGCUCUCUUCAGCCUCCGCUUCCUGGGCUGAAGUGAUCCUCCCAUCUCAGCCUCCCAAAUAGCUGGGACUACAGGUGUGCCCCACCACAUCCAACUAUUUUUGUAUUUUUUGUAGAGGUGGGGUCUCCCUGUGUUGCCCAGGCUGGUCUCAAAACUCCUGAGCUCCAGUGAUCUGCCCACUUCAGCCUCCCAAAGUGCUGGGAUUACAGGCGUGAGCCACCAUGCCCAGCCCAGCUUUCUUCUUUGUGCUCAUGAUUGCCUUGGCUAUUUGGGAUGUUUUGUGAUUCCAUGUGAAUUUUAGGAUGUUUUUUCUAUUUCUAUGAAAAAUAAUAUUGGAAUUGUGAUAGGAAUUGCAUUGAAUCUGAUAGAUCACUUUGAGUAGUACGGACAUUUUAACAAUAGUAAGGCCGGGCACAGUGGCUCAUACCUGUAGUCCCAGCAUUUUGGGAGGCCAAGGCAGAUGGAUUGUGUGAGACCAGCCUGGGCAACAUGGCAAAAUCCCAUCUCUACAAAUAAUUUAAAAAUUAGCCAAGUGUGGUGGUGCAUGCUACUUGGGAGGCUGAGGUGGGAGAAUCACCUGAGGCUGGGAGGCAGAGGUUACAGUAAGCCGAGAUUACACCACUACAGUCCAGCCUGGAUCACAGAGCAAGACCCUCUCUCAAAAAAAAAAAUAAAAUAAAAAUAAAUCUUCCAAACCAUGAA